rnacentral:rRNA from 1 species
GACGAACGCUGGCGGCGUGCUUAACACAUGCAAGUCGAACGAUGAACCCGGAGCUUGCUCCGGUGGAUUAGUGGAGAACGGGUGAGUAACACGUGAGUAACCUGCCCUUGACUCUGGGAUAACUGCGGGAAACUGUAGCUAAUACCGGAUACGACCCUCGGCGGAAUCGCCAGGGGGUGGAAAGAAUUUCGGUCAAGGAUGGACUCGCGGCCUGUCAGCUAGUUGGUGAGGUAACGGCUCACCAAGGCGCCGACGGGUAGCCGGCCUGGGAGGGUGACCGGCCACCCUGGAACUGGGCCGCGGCCCAGCCACAUAAGGGAGGAAGCAGUGGGGAAUAUUGCACAAUGGGCACAAGCCUGAUUCAGCAACGCCGCGUGAGGGAUGCCGGCCUUCGGGUUGUAAACCUCUUUUAGUAUGGAGGAAGAGAAAGUGACGGUACCCGCAGCAAAAGCACCGGCUAACUACGUGCCAGCCGCCGCCGUAA